UUAAUUGAAACCAAAAUAGAGGUAUAUCACUGUUAAUGAUAUUAAUGAAUUCAAAUUCCAAUUAGA
rnacentral:tRNA from 2 species